GCCAGGCGCGGUGGCGCACUCCUGUAAUCCCAGCAUCUCAGGAGGCUGAGACGGGAGGAGGGCAAGUUCAAAGCCAGCCUCAGCAAUGGCAAAGCGCUAAGUAACUCAGUGAGACACCGUCUCUA
rnacentral:sRNA from 1 species